AAGGGCAUAUCAUGGAGAUGCAUUUCUUUUUAUCUUUCACAUCAUUUAAAGGAAAUCAGAAGAAACUUCUCAAACUGUAUAGCCCAGGAAGGUAGACACGACAUCGACAUGUCUGAGUUGGACCGCCGUAUUCUUCAGCAUUCGGUCACAGCGAAUUGAAGUCCCUCAUUCAUGUCAUCAUGGAGGAUGAUGAAGACGUUCCUGUGAGAGUACAGCUAAGUAGCUGCACUGAUGAAUAUUAUGAGGAAGAGGUGCCACCCGAGGAGUUUUAAGUCCUGCAUCGUACUGCACAGCUACUUCAUCAUCAUCAUCAAUAUCAUUCA